GUAGGGAAUAUUGGGCAAUGGAUGCAACUCUGACGCAGCCAUGCCGCGUGCAGGAAGAAGGCGCUACGCGUUGUAAACUGCUUUUAACCGGGAAGAAACCCCAGGACGUGUCCUGGGUUGACGGUACCGGAGGAAUAAGCACCGGCUAACUUCGUGCCAGCAGCCGCGGUAAUACGAAGGGUGCAAGCGUUAUCCGGAUUCAUUGGGUUUAAAGGGUGCGUAGGCGGAGCGUUAAGUCAGUGGUGAAAUCCUGCAGCUUAACUGUAGACUUGCCAUUGAUACUGGCGCUCUUGAGUGCGCUUGAAGUGGGCGGAAUGUGCCGUGUAGCGGUGAAAUGCUUAGAUAUGGCACAGAACACCAAUUGCGAAGGCAGCUCACUAAGGCGAUACUGACGCUGAGGCACGAAAGCGUGGGGAUCGAACAGGAUUAGAUACCCUGGUAGUCC
rnacentral:rRNA from 1 species